rnacentral:rRNA from 1 species
AAUAGAUACCCGGGUAGUCCACGCCGUAAACGAUGAGUGCUAAGUGUUAGAGGGUUUCCGCCCUUUAGUGCUGAAGUUAACGCAUUAAGCACUCCGCCUGGGGAGUACGGCCGCAAGGCUGAAACUCAAAGGAAUUGACGGGGGCCCGCACAAGCGGUGGAGCAUGUGGUUUAAUUCGAAGCAACGCGAAGAACCUUACCAGGUCUUGACAUCCUCUGAAAACCCUAGAGAUAGGGCUUCUCCUUCGGGAGCAGAGUGACAGGUGGUGCAUGGUUGUCGUCAGCUCGUGUCGUGAGAUGUUGGGUUAAGUCCCGCAACGAGCGCAACCCUUGAUCUUAGUUGCCAUCAUUAAGUUGGGCACUCUAAGGUGACUGCCGGUGACAAACCGGAGGAAGGUGGGGAUGACGUCAAAUCAUCAUGCCCCUUAUGACCUGGGCUACACACGUGCUACAAUGGACGGUACAAAGAGCUGCAAGACCGCGAGGUGGAGCUAAUCUCAUAAACCGUUCUCAGUUCGGAUUGUAGG